GGGGGAUAUUGCACAAUGGGGGAAACCCUGAUGCAGCGACGCCGCGUGGAGGAAGAAGGUUUUCGGAUUGUAAACUCCUGUCGUUAGGGACGAUAAUGACGGUACCUAACAAGAAAGCACCGGCUAACUACGUGCCAGCAGCCGCGGUAAAACGUAGGGUGCAAGCGUUGUCCGGAAUUACUGGGUGUAAAGGGAGCGCAGGCGGACCGGCAAGUUGGAAGUGAAAACUAUGGGCUCAACCCAUAAAUUGCUUUCAAAACUGCUGGCCUUGAGUAGUGCAGAGGUAGGUGGAAUUCCCGGUGUAGCGGUGGAAUGCGUAGAUAUCGGGAGGAACACCAGUGGCGAAGGCGACCUACUGGGCACCAACUGACGCUGAGGCUCGAAAGCAUGGGUAGCAAACAGGAUUAGAUACCCUGGUAGUCCAUGCCGUAAACGAUGAUUACUAGGUGUUGGAGGAUUGACCUCUUCAGUGCCGCAGUUAACACAAUAAGUAAUCCACCUGGGGAGUACGACCGCAAGGUUGAAACUCAAAGGAAUUGACGGGGGCCCGCACAAGCAGUGGAGUAUGUGGUUUAAUUCGAAGCAACGCGAAGAACCUUACCAGGUCUUGACAUCCGAUGCAUAGUGCAGAGAUGCAUGAAGUCCUUCGGGACAUCGAGACAGGUGGUGCAUGGUUGUCGUCAGCUCGUGUCGUGAGAUGUUGGGUUAAGUCCCGCAACGAGCGCAACCCUUAUUGCCAGUUACUACGAAAGAGGACUCUGGCGAGACUGCCGUUGACAAAACGGAGGAAGGUGGGGAUGACGUCAAAUCAUCAUGCCCUUUAUGACCUGGGCUACACACGUACUACAAUGGCGUUUAACAAAGAGAAGCAAGACCGCGAGGUGGAGCAAAACUCAAAAACAACGUCUCAGUUCAGAUUGCAGGCUGCAACUCGCCUGCAUGAAGUCGGAAUUGCUAGUAAUCGCGGAUCAGCAUGCCGCGGUGAAUACGUUCCCG
rnacentral:rRNA from 1 species